rnacentral:lncRNA from 1 species
AUUCACUUAAACUUUCAAUGCUUGCAAACGUGUAUUCUAAGUACACUGAAAGCUUACUUCUUGUGUUGUAGGUCUUCGAAUUUCAAUUGACUUCUGAGGACAUGAAAGUGAUAGAUGGCCUGAACAGAAACUUGAGAUAUCUUCCUGCUGAGUUCAUUGAAGGCCACCCUAAUUAUCCAUUUGCUGAUGAAUAUUAACAUGGGACCUUUGUCAUGAGUACUGGCAGAAAUUCCUUUUCAUGAAAUAUGAUACAGAAUACAUCUGAGGUGUUGCUGCUCUGACUCAUCCUGGUCAAACCAUGCUGAUUAGCAACUCUCCUAGAUUAGAUUAAAAAGGGACUAAACUAGCAUCAGAUUUUUGAAAACAAUAUAAAAUCAUUUUUUCUAAAGGUUCUUGCUUUGUGCUGUUUCUGUUAUUUGCAUG